rnacentral:lncRNA from 1 species
GGCGGCGAUUGACUUGGCGAUUGGCGAUUCCCCUCCGACGCCUCCGUCGCGGUGCCGCCCCUGUCCAGCGACCUCGGCUCCCGUCCCCGACGCCGGUGACCUCGAUCCACCAGCUCCUCUCUAACCCCUCUCCCCUAUCCAAUCCCCUCUCUCUCGGUGAACUAUGUGAGUUCGUGUUGUCGUCUCAUCCUCCCCUCCGGCCCUCCCCAGCUCGCCGUCGUCUCUAAUCGGUCUCUGUCUGUCGUGUGUCGUCUGGGUGGCCCCCGUGUUCUCCGGCAUCGGGCUCCGGUAGCACAGGUAAACCCUAACCCUAACCCUAGAUCUUUCGUAAACCCUAACCCUAACCCUAACUGUAUAAUGUUUUGCUCUUUUGUAGGUCAGUUGCUG